GUACAUGCUUCGGCGGUACAUACACUAAAAUUAUAACGAUACAUUGAAGAUUAGCAUAUCCCUUGCGCACGAAUGACACUGUAAAAUCGUGAAGCGUUCCACAUUAAA